rnacentral:rRNA from 1 species
GAUGGGAGCUUGCUCCCUGAUGUUAGCGGCGGACGGGUGAGUAACACGUGGGUAACCUGCCUGUAAGACUGGGAUAACUCCGGGAAACCGGGGCUAAUACCGGAUGCUUGUUUGAACCGCAUGGUUCAGACAUAAAAGGUGGCUUCGGCUACCACUUACAGAUGGACCCGCGGCGCAUUAGCUAGUUGGUGAGGUAACGGCUCACCAAGGCGACGAUGCGUAGCCGACCUGAGAGGGUGAUCGGCCACACUGGGACUGAGACACGGCCCAGACUCCUACGGGAGGCAGCAGUAGGGAAUCUUCCGCAAUGGACGAAAGUCUGACGGAGCAACGCCGCGUGAGUGAUGAAGGUUUUCGGAUCGUAAAGCUCUGUUGUUAGGGAAGAACAAGUGCCGUUCAAAUAGGGCGGCACCUUGACGGUACCUAACCAGAAAGCCACGGCUAACUACGUGCCAGCAGCCGCGGUAAUACGUAGGUGGCAAGCGUUGUCCGGAAUUAUUGGGCGUAAAGGGCUCGCAGGCGGUUUCUUAAGUCUGAUGUGAAAGCCCCCGGCUCAACCGGGGAGGGUCAUUGGAAACUGGGGAACUUGAGUGCAGAAGAGGAGAGUGGAAUUCCACGUGUAGCGGUGAAAUGCGUAGAGAUGUGGAGGAACACCAGUGGCGAAGGCGACUCUCUGGUCUGUAACUGACGCUGAGGAGCGAAAGCGUGGGGAGCGAACAGGAUUAGAUACCCUGGUAGUCCACGCCGUAAACGAUGAG